GGUGAGUAAUACGUAAGUAACUGCCCCUAAGUGGGGGAUACCCCUGGGAAACUAGGGCUAAUACCGCGUGUGGUCUUCAUAAGUAAAGCCGCGCUUGGGGAGGGGCUUGCGUCCGAUUAGCUAGUUGGUAGGGUAACGGCCUACCAAGGCGAAGAUCGGUAGCUGGUCUGAGAGGACGACCAGCCACACUGGGACUGAGACACGGCCCAGACUCCUACGGGAGGCAGCAGCAAGGAAUAUUGCGCAAUGGGCGAAAGCCUGACGCAGCGACGUCGCGUGGGGGAUGAAGGCCUUCGGGUUGUAAACCCCUUUUCUUAGGGAAGAAUGACGGUACCUGAGGAAUAAGUCUCGGCUAACUACGUGCCAGCAGCCGCGGUAAUACGUAGGAGACAAGCGUUAUCCGGAUUUAUUGGGCGUAAAGCGGACGCAGGCGGUCUUUCAAGUCGGAUGUAAAAUCUCCCGGCUCAACUGGGAGGGGUCGUCCGAUAC
rnacentral:rRNA from 1 species